AGAGUUUGAUCAUGGCUCAGAACGUACGCUGGCGGCACGCCUAACACAUGCAAGUCGAACGAAGUAGCAAUACUUAGUGGCAGACGGGUGAGUAACAUGUAGGUAUCUGCCCUUUGGCCUGGAAUAACACGAGGAAACUUGUGCUAAUACUGGAUAAGUCUUUACGGAGAAAGCUUUAUGCACCAUUGGAUGAGCCUGCACUUGAUUAGUUUGUUGGUGGGGUAAUGGCCUACCAAGACUGUGAUCAAUAGCUGAUUUGAGAGGAUGAUCAGCCACAUUGGGACUGAGACACGGCCCAAACUCCUACGGGAGGCAGCAGUGGGGAAUCUUGCACAAUGGAGGAAACUCUGAUGCAGCGAUGCCGCGUGAGUGAAGAAGGCCUUUGGGUUGUAAAGCUCUUUCGUCGGGGAAGAAAAUGACUGUACCCGAAUAAGAAGGUCCGGCUAACUUCGUGCCAGCAGCCGCGGUAAUACGAAGGGACCUAGCGUAGUUCGGAAUUACUGGGCUUAAAGAGUUCGUAGGUGGUUGAAAAAGUUGGUGGUGAAAUCCCAGAGCUUAACUCUGGAACUGCCAUCAAAACUUUUCAGCUAGAGUAUGAUAGAGGAAAGCAGAAUUUCUAGUGUAGAGGUGAAAUUCGUAGAUAUUAGAAAGAAUACCAAUUGCGAAGGCAGCUUUCUGGAUCAUUACUGACACUGAGGAACGAAAGCAUGGGUAGCGAAGAGGAUUAGAUACCCUCGUAGUCCAUGCCGUAAACGAUGUGUGUUAGACGUUGGAAAUUUAUUUUCAGUGUCGCAGCGAAAGCGAUAAACACACCGCCUGGGGAGUACGACCGCAAGGUUAAAACUCAAAUGAAUUGACGGGGACCCGCACAAGUAGUGGAGCAUGUGGUUUAAUUCGAAGAUACGCGCAGAACCUUACCAACACUUGACAUGUUCGUCGCGACUUUAAGAGAUUAAAGUUUUCGGUUCGGCCGGACGAAACACAGGUGCUGCAUGGCUGUCGUCAGCUCGUGUCGUGAGAUGUUGGGUUAAGUCCCGCAACGAGCGCAACCCUCACUUUUAGUUGCCAUCAUUAAGUUGGGCACUCUGAAAGAACUGCCAGUGAUAAGCUGGAGGAAGGUGGGGAUGACGUCAAGUCCUCAUGGCCCUUACGUGUUGGGCUACACACGUGCUACAAUGGUAUCUACAACAGGAAGCAAAACUGCGAAGUUAAGCAAAUCCUUAAAAGAUACCUCAGUUCGGAUUGCACUCUGCAACUCGAGUGCAUGAAGCUGGAAUUACUAGUAAUCGUGGAUCAGCGUGCCACGGUGAAUGCGUUCCCGGGUCUUGUACACACCGCCCGUCACACCAUGGGAGUUGGUUCUACCUUAAGGCAAGGUUUCAAACCCUUGACCACGGUAUAGUCAGCGACUGGGGUGAAGUCGUAACAAGGUA
rnacentral:rRNA from 2 species